GACGAACGCUGGCGGCGUGCUUAACACAUGCAAGUCGAGCGGAAAGGCCACUUCGGUGGUACUCGAGCGGCGAACGGGUGAGUAACACGUGAGUAAUCUGCCCUUGGCUUUGGGAUAACCACCGGAAACGGUGAUUAAUACCGGAUACGACCACUUCUCGCAUGGGAUGGUGGUGGAAAGUUUUUCGGCCAGGGAUGUGCUCGCGGCCUAUCAGCUUGAUGGUGAGGUAAUGGCUCACCAUGGCUUCGACGGGUAGCCGGCCUGAGAGGGUGACCGGUCACACUGGGAUUGAGACACGGCCCAGACUCCUACGGGAGGCAGCAGUGGGGAAUAUUGGACAAUGGGCGGAAGCCUGAUCCAGCAACGCCGCGUGAGGGAUGACGGCCUUCGGGUUGUAAACCUCUUUCGGUGGGGACGAAGCGCAAGUGACGGUACCCACUAAAGAAGCACCGGCCAACUACGUGCCAGCAGCCGCCGUAAGAC
rnacentral:rRNA from 1 species